ensembl:lncRNA SNED1-AS1 SNED1 antisense RNA 1
AGUGGUAGCCGAAGAAGCUCUCUGGGCAGACGCACAGCUGGACGGGCAGCCGAGGCAGGACCUUGGUGGCCUCAUCCUCUGCUGUCUCCCAGCGCCUGCCACUCAGCAGAGGCCGUCUGCAACCCACAACUAUUGCUGGGAUUAAAGGAGAAAAUCAUAUUAUCAUCUGAAGAGGUAUAGAGAAGGCAUGGAAUAAAAGUCAACGUCCAUUUGUGAUUAAAAACGCUGGGAAUACAAGGAGAAGGCUGCCGGCAAUCUGAAGAAGGCUUCAGACACACAAGUGCACACAUCGUAUUCAAUGCUGAACCCGGAACACUUGCUUUUUGAGACUAGGAACAAGUCAAGGGUUCCACCAACACCACCGCUAUGAGACGAUUCACGGGAGGCCUUGGCCAGCACAGGCACCAACACCACCGCUAUGAGACGAUUCAUUGGAGGCCUCGGCCAGCACAGGCACCAACACCACCGCUAUGAGACGAUUCAUGGGAGGCCUCGGCCAGCACAGGCACCAACACCACCGCUAUGAGACGAUUCACGGGAGGCCUCAGCCAGCGCAGGA